AACCGCAACCGCGUGCGUUUUGUGCUGACGGGUGGGCCUACAUGGUCAGCGACUCGACCCUGGCACGUGUCUGAUCACCGUGCACCGACACGCGGGCCCCGACAGACAGCCUCUCGCGCGGGGUUGCGACUGGCCUGUGGCCCCCUAUCAGCCGCUCUCACUACGCUUGUUGACUUUCUCUAACGUGUGGGACCUGUCGAGCUCAUGAGCGUUCCUCACCAGCGUGUGGGCCCGGGAGGUCAGGGUGCCUUUCCCCUUUCUCCGCAUGAACGACGCCCCGAACUCAACAAACUACGCCGAAUCCUCCAGGGGUUGUUAUGGGUUCCCGGCCCUCUCCCUCUAGCACUAAUCUACCAGCCGCAACUCCCCUGCCUCCUCGUUUCGUUUCACCAGAGCCAAAAUCGAGCACUAGUACCAGAGCAGAGGUGAGCUGAGAGCAGGGAGCACCGCCAACACCGACCUAUUCCUCGACCGAUGUUCGGGGAUCCGCGGCGAGUCUGGGAGCCUCGUGGAGUUGCUUGUGAGGCACCUGUAGCCGAGUGGGGAAGGAUUGACCACCGAGGCGGCUGGAAUUCUUCGUCGAACACUGUGAUCCGUCACGCUUCAUGGGUUGGGCUUGGCGCUACUUGAAUCACGAGAAGGUGGCCCCGGAGGAAGACAAAUACGAGGAGUUCGACGAGGUCUAGGUGUCGUCUCCCAAUCAGUUUGUUGGCGCCAUGGGACAAUAAUGUUAUUAGUUCAUUUUAAUUAUUAUCAUUUAUCUUGUAAGACAUUUCAUUAUGUAAUAAUGAUUGUGACAUUCGUCUCUAUACACUGAGUCAUCAUAUGUGUUGAUCU